CAUGGAGAUGGAGGGGUGGAGGGAGUUAAGAGGCAUCAUGGAGAUGGAGGGGUGGAGGGAGUUAAGAGGCAUCAUGGAGGUGGAGGAGGCAGGGUUGAUGUAGGACUGAGGAGCACGUGGUUUCUGCCUUGAGCAGAUAUAGGUGGUGAUGUCCUUUACAAGGCAAGAUGAGCAGGGGUGAGUGGGGACAGUCUUCUUGGGCAGGUUAGGGAGAAGAGUACCACGGUCCAAUCAACCCUUUCUUGCCUUGUGGACACAUGAAGCUGGAGAUGUUUGUCAGAUGUCACAGGCGCAGUUAGAACCUCAAGAUGGAACAUAUGCGAAAUG